rnacentral:rRNA from 1 species
ACGUAGGACCCGAGCGUUGUCCGGAAUCACUGGGUGUAAAGGGAGCGCAGGCUGACUUUCAAGUCGAUGGUGAAAUCUUGUGGCUUAACCACAAAACUGCCGUCGAUACUGUCUGUCUUGAGUGUGGUAGAGGGUGGCAGAAUUCAUGGUGUAGCGGUGAAAUGCGUAGAUAUCAUGAAGAAUACCGGUUGCGAAGGCGGCCACCUGGUCCAUUACUGACGCUCAUGCUCGAAAGCGUGGGGAGCAAACAGGAUUAGAUACCCUGGUAGUCCACGCCCUAAACGAUGAAUACUCGGUGUUGGGUUUUAUUACUCAGCGCCUAAGCUAACGCAUUAAGUAUUCCACCUGGGAAGUACGAUCGCAAGGUUG